rnacentral:rRNA from 1 species
CCUACGGGAGGCAGCAGUGGGGAAUAUUCGGCAAUGGGCGAAAGCCUGAUGCAGCAACGCCGCGUGAAGGAAGAAGGCUUUCGGGUCGUAAACUUCUUUUCUCAGUGACGAAGCAAGUGAGGGUACAUGAGGAAUAAGCCACGGCUAAUUACGUGGCAGCAGCCGCGGUAAUACGUAGGUGGCAAGCGUUAUCCGGAUUUACUGGGUGUAAAGCGCGUGUAGGCGGUACGUCAAGUCAAGGGUGAAAGCCCUGUGCUCAACGUGGGAACUGCCUUUGAAACUGGCAAACUGGAGUGUGUGAGAGGAGAGUGGAAUUCCAGGUGUAGGAGUGAAAUCCGUAGAUAUAUGGAGGAACACCAGUGGCGAAGGCGACUAUCUGGUACAUAACUGACGCUGAGGAGCGAAAGCGUGGGUAGCAAACAGGAUUAGAUACCCUUGUAGUC